GACGAACGCUGGCGGCGUGCUUAACACAUGCAAGUCGAACGGAAAGGCCCUGCUUUUGUGGGGUGCUCGAGUGGCGAACGGGUGAGUAACACGUGAGUAACCUGCCCUUGACUUUGGGAUAACUUCAGGAAACUGGGGCUAAUACCGGAUAGGAGCUCCUGCUGCAUGGUGGGGGUUGGAAAGUUUCGGCGGUUGGGGAUGGACUCGCGGCUUAUCAGCUUGUUGGUGGGGUAGUGGCUUACCAAGGCUUUGACGGGUAGCCGGCCUGAGAGGGUGACCGGCCACAUUGGGACGGAGAUACGGCCCAGACUCCUACGGGAGGCAGCAGUGGGGAAUAUUGCACAAUGGGCGGAAGCCUGAUGCAGCAACGCCGCGUGCGGGAUGACGGCCUUCGGGUUGUAAACCGCUUUCGCCUGUGACGAAGCGUGAGUGACGGUAAUGGUAAAGAAGCACCGGCUAACUACGUG
rnacentral:rRNA from 1 species